rnacentral:lncRNA from 1 species
GUAGAAAUAACCGCACUUGGGUAGCAGAGUUAGUGUUUGCAAAUUGUCCACUUAAUGGCACUUCUACUAGGGAGCAAGGACCAUCCCGGCACGUUUACCUGACAUAUGAAAAUCUGUUGUCUGAGCCUGUUGGUGGUAGAAAGGUGGUUGAAAUGUUUCUUAAUGACUGGAAUAGCAUUGCACGAUUAUAUGAGUGUGUGUUGGAAUUUGCACGUUCUCUACCAGACAUACCUGCUCAUCUAAAUAUUUUCUCAGAAGUUCGUGUUUAUAAUUACCGAAAACUUAUCUUGUGUUAUGGAACCACCAAGGGAAGCUCAGUAAAUUAGUAUCCAAUGGAAUUCGAUCCAUCAAAAAUUCCACAUUUCUUUGGGAACUGUUGGCCCAAACUCAGGUUGCAGUAACUGUCACAAUACCAUUCUCCAUCAGCUUCAAGAAAUGUUCAACAAAACACCAAAUGUGGUUCAGUUAUUACAGACGUUCCUGAAUAUGUUUGUUGACAGCAAUCAGGAUGCUCGAAGAAGGUCUGUAAAUGAGGACGAUAAUCCCCCUUCUCCUAUAGGAGGAGAUAUGAUGGAUUCUUUAAUAUCGCAGCUCCAGCCACCACCCCAGCAACAG